AUUGAACGCUGGCGGCAGGCCUAACACAUGCAAGUCGAGCGAGCGGCGGACGGGGGAGUAAUGUAUGGGGACUGCCCGAUAGAGGGGGAUAACUACUGGAAACGGUAGCUAAUACCGCAUACUAUCGGAUAACCCAUAUGGGAUUAGCUAGUAGGUGAGGUAAUGGCUCACCUAGGCGACGAUCCCUAGCUGGUCUGAGGAGAAGAUCAGCCCCGCUGGGACUGUGAGACGGCCCGGACGCCUACGGAGGCAGCAGUGGGGAAUAUUGCACAAUGGGCGCAGGCCUGGUGCAGCCAUGCCGCGUGUUUGAAGAAGGCCCUAGGGUUGUAAAGUACUUUCAGUCGGGAGGCGUUGCCGACAGAAGAAGCACCGGCUAACUCCGUGCCAGCCGCCGCGGUAAUUC
rnacentral:rRNA from 1 species